AUGGAAAAAUAAAAGAAAAAGGAAGCAUGGCAGCACUGUGAAGGCAAAGGCAGCGAGCAGAGGCAGCUAUGGCAGCAAGCGAUUAACCAGGUGAUCGAGAGGGAGCUGGGCAUCGAAGCUUGUGGCCGGAGGCAGCUGCGAGAGGAACCAAAAUGGUAACCAAAGCUGUUUGCAGCAAGUGAACAGCAUCCAUGGCCGCAAGUCGCGGCCAUGGCAGCACGCAUGGAAGCUCGGAUGAUAGCUGAACAGCAACGAGAAGAAGGCGACCAGGGGUUGCGCAGGGGCAAGAGCGAUCGGUGGGGGUCGUGGCAGGCGUUGGAAGUGGCCGGAGUGGGCCGCACAGCAAGUUGCAGCCAUAGCAGCAAGCUUGCUGCGGCUGGGCUGCAUCCAUGGAGGCCGGAGUAGCCGCGGUGAUGGCUGCUGGAACGAGGGGUAGUGACCGACGGGAUUAGGCAAGGUCGGUGAGGCCAGCGUGGGCAGCAGCAAGGCCAGAAAUGCGGCGGUGUCACGGCUGGGCGGAGCUGGUCAUGCGCGCAUGGCAGGCGCAGGGAAGAAGAAGGCUGGAGGAGGAAGAAAGAAAGGAGAAAAAAAGAAAAGAAAAGAAAAGAAAAGAAAAGAAAAGAAAAGAAAAGGAAAGGAAAGGAAAAAUAGAGAAAAUGGAAAGAAAAAUUAGGAAAAAUUGGGAAAAAUUGUCGGAAAAAUCCCAGAAAAUUAUGAGGAUUAAUUUGAAGCUAUGGGAGCAUGCCAAAGCCAGAAAAUUACUCAGAUGCGCAUUUUAAGGCUUAACACGCAUUACGAGGCAAAAAUUAACUUUUCGCAUAAGUCAGGGACUGCUGCGAGGGCAAGGAUACGGCCGGUUAAAAGUCAACGGUGCUUAGAUUGAUAGUCGAUGUAAACUUUGGGGUUUUAGCAUGUAUUUCAGCUUAUGUAUGAACAGUUGUACGAUAAAGUUGUUAUCAUUUGGUCAUUUGUAUUACAUAUUUUGUUAUGAAAAUACUAUGUAAGAACCUCGGUGCUAGAUGUUAAUGUAUCCGUUGCGUUCGUUUAGUUGUUAA